UGAGGAAUAUUGGACAAUGGGUGAGAGCCUGAUCCAGCCAUGCCGCGUGCAGGAAGAAGGCGUUAUGCGUUGUAAACUGCUUUUUGCCAGGGGAUAAAAAGACCGUGCGCGGUUAAUUGAAGGUACCUGGUGAAUAAGCCACGGCUAACUACGUGCCAGCAGCCGCGGUAAUACGUAGGUGGCAAGCGUUGUCCGGAUUUAUUGGGUUUAAAGGGUGCGUAGGUGGCCCUGUAAGUCAGUGGUGAAAUAUCUCAGCUUAACUGAGAGGGUGCCAUUGAUACUGCAGGGCUUGAGUACAGAUGAGGUAGGCGGAAUUGACGGUGUAGCGGUGAAAUGCAUAGAUAUCGUCAAGAACACCGAUAGCGAAGGCAGCUUACCAAGCUGUAACUGACACUGAGGCACGAAAGUGUGGGGAUCAAACAGGAUUAGAUACCCCCGUAGUCCCUGAGCGGGCUGGCAAGGCGCAU
rnacentral:rRNA from 1 species